rnacentral:tRNA from 1 species
GCGGCUUUGGCGAAAUUGGUAUACGCGCAGGAUUUAGGUUCCUGUCCGGCAACGGGUAAGGGUUCGAGUCCCUCAAGCCGCA